CAUCCAUUGACAUCCCCACUGGAAUUAAAUAUUGCAUCUCUGUGAUUGGAAAUAGGCUCAGGCUAGUCCAAGACUCUUUGAACCAGUUAGAUUCAGGUUGGACCUUGUGCCAAGCCCAAGAUUAUCUGGAUCAGGGUUAAGCCCACAAAUAGGACAACAUAAAUUUUUGACUGGGCUUGGGCUGAUACUCGGCCUAGCCUGGGCCAAGCUCGAAAUCCAAGCCCGAUUUUAAUUGGCUGUUUACAUCCUCUGGUAUUUAAAGUGGAACAGCAGUAAAUGAGUGGUAGUCCAUGAUGAUUCCCAGCAUGAUGCACAAUCCCCGAAGUCAGGACAGAGUAGAAUUAGAGGACAAGA
rnacentral:lncRNA from 1 species